AAACCACUUUCGACAGGGACGAAGCUUUUGUGACGGUACCUGUAUAAGAAGCACCGGCUAACUACGUGCCAGCAGCCGCGGUAAUACGUAGGGUGCGAGCCUUGUCCGGAAUUACUGGGCGUAAAGAGCUCGUAGGUGGUUUGUCGCGUCGUCUGUGAAAUUCCGGGGCUUAACUUCGGGCGUGCAGGCGAUACGGGCAUAACUUGAGUGCUGUAGGGGAGACUGGAAUUCCUGGUGUAGCGGUGGAAUGCGCAGAUAUCAGGAGGAACACCGAUGGCGAAGGCAGGUCUCUGGGCAGUAACUGACGCUGAGGAGCGAAAGCAUGGGGAGCGAACAGGAUUAGAUACCUUGGGGUAGUCA
rnacentral:rRNA from 1 species